GGCCAGACAACAGCGCUAGGCAGCUGCUCAGAGCCACUCGACAAAGGCCUCCAGAUUGCAGUUCUUUCUUCAGGUCUUUUAAGUAUUCUUUAGGAAGAAUAUGAGAGAGAUUAAAUUCUGUGCUAUAAAUGGAGGAGUAACUUUAUGAAGCUAACUUAUUACUUGAAGCUUUUCUAUGAAAUUUUCUGGCCUCACCACUAUUUUGUCCUUGGAUUUAGUAGGCCUGUAUCUGAGAGAGCCUGGCUGAGCCCAGGAUCUUACACGUCUCUGCUUGGAUCCUUGAAGAGCUCUCAAUUUAAAUAUGUCAAACAUGCUGAAGGCUUUACUUUUCUCAUUUAAAAGCACAGGAAGUCUACACAAUGAGUUUGAUGCCAUGCGGGGAGUCUGCAACUGAAUACCAAGUGAACAAAAAUCUCUAGAACUCCUCCUUAUCAAACACCCAGUCCUUGUGAAUAAUUUAUCUUUCCCAAAGGGUGAGGCAUUAAAUGGAUCCCCUAGGUCCAAAGAAUUUAGGCAAGAGAGGAACAGAGCCUGUAAAUGCAAUAUGAUUGCAUUUGGAGAAGAUCUAAGCGCUGUGUUUUGACCUGAAGAUAAAAUGUGUCAAAUGAGACCUUUCAGCAUAGAGAUGCUGUGUGGUUUUAAUGAAAUCUGUCAGCUGCGUAUGAAUAGUUAACCUAUCUUUCAUUUUCUUAGCUUAUUAAAAUCAUUAAAAUACAGCAAUAAUUAUGA